rfam:Nicotiana sylvestris Nsyl_contig125225, whole genome shotgun sequence.
UUAUGGCAAGAAUGAUGAAAAAAAAUUAGAUGUGCGAUGGGUGUAUUCCUCUAUGAGCUUAACAUCGAGGCAUAUUUAUAUUCUGACUUACCUUUA